AUUGAACGCUGGCGGCAGGCCUAACACAUGCAAGUCGAACGGAAACAGGAAGAAGCUUGCUUCUUUGCUGACGAGUGGCGGGCGGGUGAGACAUGUCUGGGAAACUGCUUGAUGUAGGGGGAUAACUACUGGAAACGGUAGCUAAUACCGCAUAACGUCGCAAGACCAAAGAGGGGGACAUUCGGGCCUCUUGCCAUCGGAUGUGCCCAGAUGGGAUUAGCUAGUAGGUGGGGUAACGGCGCACCUAGGCGACCAUCCCUAGCUGGUCUGAGAGGAUGACCAGCCACCCUGGAACUUAGACACGGUCCAGAGUCCUACGGGAGGCAGCAGUGGGGAAUAUUGCACAAUGGGCGCAAGCCUGAUGCAGCCAUGCCGCGUGUAUGAAGAAGGCCUUCGGGUUGUAAAGUACUUUCAGCGGGGAGGAAGGGAGUAAAGUUAAUACCUUUGCUCAUUGACGUUACCCGCAGAAGAAGCACCGGCUAACUCCGUG
rnacentral:rRNA from 1 species